rnacentral:rRNA from 1 species
AUUGAACGCUGGCGGCAGGCUUAACACAUGCAAGUCGAGCGAGCGGCGGACGGGUGAGUAAUGUCUGGGAAACUGCCUGAUGGAGGGGGAUAACUACUGGAAACGGUAGCUAAUACCGCAUACCAUCGGAUGUGCCCAGAUGGGAUUAGCUAGUAGGUGGGGUAAUGGCUCACCUAGGGGACGAUCCCUAGCUGGUCUGAGAGGAUGACCAGCCACACUGGAACUGGUACACGGUCCAGACUCCUACGGGAGGCAGCAGUGGGGAAUAUUGCACAAUGGGCGCAAGCCUGAUGCAGCCAUGCCGCGUGUGUGAAGAAGGCCUUCGGGUUGUAAAGCACUUUCAGCGGGGAGGCGUUACCCGCAGAAGAAGCACCGGCUAACUCCGUGCCAGCAGCCGCGGUAAUAC